ACCACAUCACUUUGAAACACCAGUUCCCAUCAUAUCACCAAAGUUAAGCAAUGUCAAGAGUGGUCAGUACUUAGAUGGGUGACCACUUGGGAAUACCAGGUCCUGUAA